rnacentral:rRNA from 1 species
GAUGAACGCUGGCGGCGUGCCUAAUACAUGCAAGUCGAGCGAACAGACGAGGAGCUUGCUCCUCUGACGUUAUCGGCGGACGGGUGAGUAACACGUGGAUAACCUACCUAUAAGACUGGGAUAACUUCGGGAAACCGGAGCUAAUACCGGAUAAUAUAUUGAACCGCAUGGUUCCAUCGUGAAAGACGGUUUUGCUGUCACUUAUAGAUGGAUCCGCGCCGCAUUAGCUAGUUGGUAAGGUAACGGGUUACCAAGGCAACGAUGCGUAGCCGACCUGAGAGGGUGAUCGACCACACUGGAACUGAGACACGGUCCAGACUCCUACGGGAGGCAGCAGUAGGGAAUCUUCCGCGAUGGGCGAAAGCCUGACGGAGCAACGCCGCGUGAGUGAUGAAGGUCUUCGGAUCGUAAAACUCUGUUAUUAGGGAAGAACAAAUGUGUAAGUAACUAUGCACGUCUUGACGGUACCUAAUCAGAAAGCCACGGCUAACUACGUA